UACCAACAGACAAACCAUAAAGUGAAAGACA
rnacentral:piRNA from 1 species